CUNANGGGGAACCUGAUGGAGCACGCCGCGUGCAGGAUGAAGGCCUUCGGGUUGUAAACUGCUUUUAUGAGUGAAGAAUAUGACGGUAACUCAUGAAUAAGCACCGGCUAACUACGUGCCAGCAGCCGCGGUCAUACGUAGGGUGCAAGCAUUAUCCGGAGUGACUGGGCGUAAAGAGUUGCGUAGGCGGUUAGUUAAGUGAAUAGUGAAACCUGGUGGCUCAACCAUACAGACUAUUAUUCAAACUGGCUAACUCGAGAAUGGUAGAGGUAACUGGAAUUUCUCAAGUAGGGGUAAUAUCCGUAGAUAUGAGAAGGAACACCAAUGGCGUAGGCAGGUUACUGGACCAUUUCUGACGCUAAGGCACGAAAGCGUGGGGAGCGAACCGGAUUAGAUACCCGGGUAGUCCACGCCGUAAACGAUGGAUGCUAGCUGUAGGGGGUAUCGACCCCUUCUGUAGCGAAGCUAACGCGUUAAGCAUCCCGCCUGUGGAGUACGGCCGCAAGGCUAAAACAUAAAGGAAUUGACGGGGACCCGCACAAGCGGUGGAUCGUGUUCUUUAAUUCGAUGAUAAACGGAGAACCUUACCAGGGUUUGACAUCCUUGGAAUUUCUGCGAAAGCAGUUAGUGCCUUUUGGAACCAAGUGACAGGUGAUGCAUGGCCGUCGUCAGCUCGUGUCGUGAGAUGUUUGGUUAAGUCCAUCAACGAGCGCAACCCUUAUAUCUAGUUGGAUUUUUCUAGAUAGACUGCCCCGGUAACGGGGAGGAAGGGGGGGAUGAUGUCAGGUCAGUAUUUCCCUUACAUCCUGGGCUAGAAACACGAUACAAUGGCUAGUACAAUGCGCAGCGAAGCCGCGAGGUGGAGCAAAUCGCAUCAAAGCUAGUCCCAGUUCGGAUUGGAGGCUGAAACUCGCCUCCAUGAAGUCGGAAUCNC
rnacentral:rRNA from 1 species